rnacentral:ncRNA from 2 species
GGCCCAAUGGCGGCGUCUGGUGCCCGCCAACCGCGGGAGAAUCGGGAAUCCGGUGAGACUCCGGAACGUGCCCAACGCUGUGGAGGGGAUGGCUUGCGCAACACGCCACUGGGACAGUCCCGGGAAGGCGCGCAGGCCAGGUGAACCGAAGUCAGAAGACCGGCCAGAUGUCAUAGCCUUGC